rnacentral:rRNA from 1 species
UACGUAGGGUGCAAGCGUUAAUCGGAAUUACUGGGCGUAAAGCGUGCGCAGGCGGCUAUGCAAGACAGAUGUGAAAUCCCCGGGCUCAACCUGGGAACUGCAUUUGUGACUGCAUGGCUAGAGUACGGUAGAGGGGGAUGGAAUUCCGCGUGUAGCAGUGAAAUGCGUAGAUAUCGGGAGGAACACCAGUGGCGAAGGCGGCUACCUGGCCCAUUCUUGACGCUGAGGCGCGAAAGCUAGGGGAGCAAACGGG